AACGAACGCUGGCGGCAGGCUUAACACAUGCAAGUCGAGCGCCCCGCAAGGGGAGCGGCAGACGGGUGAGUAACGCGUGGGAAUCUACCGAGCCCUAAGGAAUAGCUCCGGGAAACUGGAAUUAAUACCUUAUACGCCCUUCGGGGGAAAGAUUUAUCGGGGUUUGAUGAGCCCGCGUUGGAUUAGCUAGUUGGUGGGGUAAAGGCCUACCAAGGCGACGAUCCAUAGCUGGUCUGAGAGGAUGAUCAGCCACAUUGGGACUGAGACACGGCCCAAACUCCUACGGGAGGCAGCAGUGGGGAAUAUUGGACAAUGGGCGCAAGCCUGAUCCAGCCAUGCCGCGUGAGUGAUGAAGGCCCUAAGGUUGUAAAGCUCUUUCACCGGUGAAGAUAAUGACGGUAACCGGAGAAGAAGCCCCGGCUAACUUCGUGCCAGCCGCCGCUGUAAGAC
rnacentral:rRNA from 1 species